rnacentral:lncRNA from 1 species
GUAUCAUUAUGGUUACUGGGUCUUCUCUCUCCUCCUAGUACAGGGGUAUCAUUAUGGUUACUGGGUCUUCUCCCCCUCUCUCCUCCUAGUACAGGGGUAUCAUUAUGGUUACUGGGUCUUCUCCCUCUCCUCCUAGUACAGGGGUAUCAUUAUGGUUACUGGGUCUUCUCCCUCUCUCUUCCUAGUACAGGGGUAUCAUUAUGGUUACUGGGUCUUCUCCCCCUCUCUCCUCCUAGUACAGGGGUAUCAUUAUGGUUACUGGGUCUUCUCCCUCUCUCCUCCUAGUACAGGGGUAUCAUUAUGGUUACUGGGUCUUCUCCCCUCUCUCCUCCUAGUAGAGGGGUAUCAUUAUGGUUACUGGGUCUUCUCCCCCCCUCUCCUCCUAGUACAGGGGUAUCAUUAUGGUUACUGGGUCUUCUCCCUCUCUCCUCCUAGUACAGGGGUAUCAUUAUGGUUACUGGGUCUUCUCCCUCUCUCCUCCUAGUACAGGGGUAUCAUUAUGGUUACUGGGUCUUCUCCCUCUCUCCUCCUAGUACAGGGGUAUCAUUAUGGUUACUGGGUCUUCUCCCUCUCUCCUCCUAGUACAGGGGUAUCAUUAUGGUUACUGGGUCUUCUCCCCCUCUCCCAGUACAGGGGUAUCAUUAUGGUUACUGGGUCUUCUCCCCCUCUCUCCUCCUAGUACAGGGGUAUCAUUAUGGUUACUGGGUCUUCUCCCCCUCUCUUCCUAGUACAGGGGUAUCAUUAUGGUUACUGGGUCUUCUCCCCCUCUCUCCCAGUACAGGGGUAUCAUUAUGGUUACUGGGUCUUCUCCCCCUCUCCUCCUAGUACAGGGGUAUCAUUAUGGUUACUGGGUCUUCUCCCCCUCUCUCCCAGUACAGGGGUGUCAUUUACAGCUGGUUUCCCAGAUUAAGUCUGCUUCGAGGUGAAGUUUCCCCCUAGUCCUGGGUGAUUUGUUUCGGUAUUCCAUGGAGCAUGCUUUCAAAUCCAGGAAGAGGUUUAAUGUGAGGUCAGGGAACCUGGCUCGUUUUAGAGUUAGGAACAUGUUCCAGAGGUUCCGGGUCCAUUUCUGAGCGGUUCUAUCGUGUACAUAACAGUAGUGUUAUGGUUGGUUCUCUCCAGAAGGAGAAUAGAGAAAUAGUUUGAGCUAAUUAAUGUCUUAGUAUCGGUACUUAUUUCCCCUCUGAAACUGAUGCUUAUUUUUGUCAAAGUAAAAAUAAAAUUCUCUCUUAUUGUCAUAUAAAAUGUUUACGGUUUGUUUUUGUGUGAGAGAGUAUGUAUUACUGUAUUCAUCUGUUUUGUUAUCCAUAAUCUUUUUAAUAAAAAUAAUUUUUAAAAAAUCCACGAUUUUUGUUUUUGCUUACUGUCUAGAU